rnacentral:misc_RNA from 1 species
AGACCCCAGGCUACAAGGCAUCUCCGAAGCUAUUCGGGUGGUGCCUGGCUUUCCCAAGCCAGGUUUUCUUUUUUACAACUUUUUCUUGUAUGUAUUGAGGAAAAAAAAGAGGCUUUGUUAGUGCUCAGUAGUCUCUUUUCCUUGUGUGGAUUUUCGUCGAAUAUAUUAGCUGAGAGUUGUUUCUUGACAGGGAUAAUGUUUCAAGACAUAACACCUUUGUUUCUGGAUCACAAGGUUUUU